AACGAACGCUGGCGGCAUGCCUAACACAUGCAAGUCGAACGAGACCUUCGGGUCUUGUGGCGCACGGGUGCGUAACGCGUGGGAACCUGCCCUUAGGUUCGGAAUAACUCAGAGAAAUUUGAGCUAAUACCGGAUGAUGUCUUCGGACCAAAGAUUUAUCGCCUUUAGAUGGGCCCGCGUUGGAUUAGCUAGUUGGUGGGGUAAAGGCCUAACAAGGCGACGAUCCAUAGCUGGUCUGAGAGGAUGAUCAGCCACACUGGGACUGAGACACGGCCCAGACUCCUACGGGAGGCAGCAGUGGGGAAUAUUGGACAAUGGGCGAAAGCCUGAUCCAGCAAUGCCGCGUGAGUGAUGAAGGCCUUAGGGUUGUAAAGCUCUUUUAACCGAGAUGAUAAUGACAGUAUCGGGAGAAUAAGCUCCGGCUAACUCCGUG
rnacentral:rRNA from 1 species